UUUUUUUUUUUUUUGCGUGGAAAGGGAUUCUAUUGAUUAAGGAAUAAGGUUACAAUCGGCAUUCACAACGCUAGCAAUUUCCUUGGGGGUACUACGCAGCCAACAUGCAGUGCGUUGUUGCGAUCGUCCCAUGUAAGCGAGGCUAUGACUAGCAACAUUAACAUCCCGCCUAACCUUAACAAGUUCUAUCCUCCUUCCUCCAAAAAUAAGAUUUCUAAUCUCAUUCACACGAUAUGCAUGUGGUGAUCGAUCCUUUCUUGGCGACGAUAACAUUGUGAUGGCUUCAGCGCAGUCAGACUCGACAACAAAAUCGAGAUCCGUCCAACUCAGAGCGAGAUGAAUUCCCUCCUGGAUUGCGGCAAGCUCGGCUUCAAGCGCUCCAGUGCAGGAUGGCAGCGCACGGAUCGCAGCAAAGAUGACAGCCCUUGAGUGGUCUCGAAGGAUCAUACCUGCGCCUGCAGAACCAUUCUCCGCCACAUACACCCCAUCAACGUUGAGCUUGGCAGUACCCGGUUCCGGAGGUCUCCACUUCUCUAUAUGCGGUAUAGGCUCUUGAUGGACAUGUUUGACACCGCCUAGCUUAAUCACACCUUUCCCCUUGAUCUGGUCCUCAUGAGGGUGUUGUUGUAGUGCCAGGAGGGAGGUGAUAUAGCUGGACAAAAAUCGCCUUGAUUUUGCAAUAGGGAUAAACGGCUUCUGAUGGGUCACCUCAUUGCGUACAUGCCAGGCUCGCCACAUGAUCAUGAGGCAUAUAAGUCGCUGGGUAUCUGAUAAUUUCUCAAGCAACCUGAACAACCAAUCAGGGGCACCAUCCUUGAGUUGGUCAGCUUUAGGAAUGUCCCAUUCCUCCCGCAUAGCAUUCCAAAGGCCAGCAGCAUGUGGGCACCAAAUCAGAGCAUGAUGGGCAUCUUCCAUAGCAUUACCGCAUACUGUACAGAUUACUGACUGAGAAAUAUGUAGACGACAUUGGUACUCCUCUGUAGCCAGUGCUUCUAAGGCUGCCUUCCAGGCAAAGAUACGGACCUUCGGUGGAGCCGGGUUCUUCCAAAUAAGGUCCCAAGCCGGCCGGCGCCCGUCCGGCCUAGAGCUCGAGGAUCCCAUGUUCUGCAUCAUCGGCAUCUCCUGAAGACCCAGAUAAUAAGCGCUUUUAACUGAAAAAAUGCCACGUUUGUCCAGGUGCCAGGCUACAAAGUCUUCCUCCAUUUGACACGACGCCUUUAUUUUUGUGAUCUCCAUAAUAUCUGGUGGGUAAAAAUGUUGGUGCAAGAGAGCCAUUGAUUGCCUGCCACAAGUCCUGAAGAAGCCAGGCCCUGGAAAUUUAAUGAUUCGUUUGGUUCUAUCACCACCUUAAUCUUCUUCUUCAUUCGGUUCGCACUAGGCUCUCUGAAGUGCUAGGGCCGGCCCCUGCCUCUAAAGAAUGAGCGGCCGAUGCCUGCACGAUUCGUAUGUGGUAGCACGAGCAGCAAGCGUACAUGCAGGAGCGCAGUUGCGGGAGCAGUAUCGUUCGGAGAUCGUGCGGGAUCAGUCGUCCGUGAAGCAAUUUUGUGCACAAAAAGAACAAAACAAUGAUCUUUUGUAGUGAAUAGUGCAUGUGCUAUAAGUACAGGGUUUUUUUUAUCGGAAAUAAUAAAUCCCGAACGUUUGGGAUUUCACCAUAGCAAAUCGAAUGUUUUCGAUGGCAAUUUUAAUGACAUGCAGAUGGCAAGUUUAGUAUACACACACGACAAUUUUCUGGCAAAAAUACACUAUGCAUGGUCGAUUUGCCAUGGUCAAAUCCCGAACGCUCAGGCAUUACGGGGGUUCUUUUUUUUUUUGUCCAGCUCAGAGCAAGUGUGUUCUUUCAUGAAAUUUUACAGAGAUGUAGCAUACGUCUCUAUGUUCAUGUGCAUUUGUAUCAGAACUUUUUGAAACCUAGAAAUAUGAUUUCCGCACAUGAACCAAAAAACCACGCUCCUUCUAGAUUUCUUUGAUGCCCAUCCCUUCUUCUUUUUUUUUUCGAGUAGAACGUAUCCCUUCUAUAUAUGAUCGGGGUUACAUGGGCCCCAUCAAGCACCGUUCGACAGACCCACAUGAUCAUCUAGCGAAAAAAGUAGGUCUGGUCCUCAUCGGGCCAGCGAACGAGAGGAAGAAAGGGAAGGACAAAUGGCGCAAAGCAACUGAACAUCCGUGGAUAUGACAAGAAGGAAACGCGCACCCAACUCUCUGAACAUGAUCGCAGAUCUUCACUAGCUGUGUUACUGCAACUCAAAUGAUGUGCUUGCUCCCAAACAAUCCCCUCUAUUUGUUCUGCAAUUCUCUGCGGUAUCGAUCAUCUGGUGGAAGUGUUGUUUCAUUGACAGAAUUUUUCCCUCGUGCAUCUGCUCUGCUCCACAUUGUAUACCAAUCUAACACCAAGCACACCGAUCCAGCCAGGACCAGAGCGCCGCAUGAAGAUCAAUCGGCACAACACUAGCUACGGCAUUUAUCAACUUUAUUCGCAAGACACCAUGCAAAUAUAGUACAACUACUUGGUGCCAAUAAGAAUUCGUAGUUCAGGCAACAGUAAGCUAAACCGAACAGCUAGCAGAAUAAGUUCUCUCCACAAAGUAGUCACUAAAUCGUGGCGCAAUGCCCAUACACAUCACAGUAAUUCAUGGAACAAACCAUGCCAUGGAUCUUCAG
rnacentral:lncRNA from 1 species